UCGGAGCGGCGAUCGGGAGGGGGACGGGGCUACGUCGGGACGAGGGGGCUCGGGGAGCCGGGGCCGGCCGGGGGACUCCGGAGAGGCCCCGUCAUGGUGCCGGGAGCCGGCACCGAGCUGCAGAGGCGCCUCUGCUCCGCCACGGGCCCCCGCGGAUGGGCGCUGAGGGGGCGGCCGCGGGGCCCGGGCGGGAGGAGGAUGAGGAGGAAGGAGCCGGGAGUCGAAGGCCGGGAGCCGCCGUGGGCAGAAGGCAAAGGGUGAAAUGAGCAAGAUUUUUCGGCGGGAGGAAGAUCUUUCAGCGUGAAGAACCAAGGAGAAAGGUGUGUGAUGUGGCAGAUCCAGGAGGUCUUCUCCAAGACAUGAGGAAACUCUGAAGGCAGUUGUUUGAAAAGAUGCUUCCACAGAACAAAGAUGCAUUUGGCAACAGGUCUGAGUUGUUCUGCAGUUUGCUUCAAAUAUUGAAGAUCGUGCCUUGAAUUUUAGAAUUUCUCGCAAACCUGGCUACAGGGAAAGAAGUGGGUUAGACGUAUCUGCAUUUGAAGAUUCCUAAAGCUUCAUCUUUUUUUUUUUUUACAUGGCUCAAGCAAACUACAGCCAGCAAAAGCUCACGCAAUACUUCUUGAAUGUAGUUCUGAAUGUUUGCUGUAACUUGUGUACUCAAACGUAUAGCUCCAAGUGUCCUUUCUGCUUUUCUUGUACUCCUAAUGAAGAGCCUUAAAAGUUGUAGGCUUUAAUUUCUGCCAGUAAUCUCGGCUCGCACGCAAUGUGAAAAUAUUCACGCCCGUAUUUUGAAGCACUGUUGUCUUGAUGUGUUUUCUCCAUAUGGUUGAAGAGGCUUAAAAUAAAACUACUAUAAAAACGCUCCCUACAAGUCUGAAUUAUGCUUGUGUAUUUGUACAACCCAAAGUAAUGUUUUAAACCAUUCUGUGAUUUAGGACUUACCUGUGCGUAUGAGAACUGUGAUUUUUUUUUUCAACCUUGAACAAUGAAACGUAGAAACUUGCUUCUUAACUCAGUCCUCUUCUAGCGCUCUUAAAUCUACCGUGCUGCUCAAGCAGCAGCAUCUCUUGAGAUCCAUUUGUCAGCUUUUCACUGCUUCAGCUCUUCCUCCUUUUCCAACUGCUGUGGGAAGUUGGAAGGAGGCUUUAUGAGGGUAAAAUAGCUUUGCCUUUAGUCAUAUUUCACAUUGUACCGUAACUUGCAAACAAUAAUCUGUUGUUUGGAAACACUUGUGUGUUGUAUUAAUGAUGAACUAAAACUGGGUUCUUGGGGUGUGUGUCAUAAUCGGUGUCUGUCCAGUCCUGUUCCUGGGGUUUGCAGAUGAAUAACAUGGUAAUGUGAUGUUUUUGUCAAAAGUCUUUAUUUGAAUAAAGUAUCUUAGCUAGUGCUGUUAAA